rnacentral:rRNA from 1 species
AGUGAACGCUGGCGGUAGGCCUAACACAUGCAAGUCGAACGGCAGCACAGGAGAGCUUGCUCUCUGGGUGGCGAGUGGCGGACGGGUGAGGAAUACAUCGGAAUCUACCUUUUCGUGGGGGAUAACGUAGGGAAACUUACGCUAAUACCGCAUACGACCUACGGGUGAAAGUGGGGGACCGCAAGGCCUCACGCGAUUAGAUGAGCCGAUGUCCGAUUAGCUAGUUGGCGGGGUAAUGGCCCACCAAGGCGACGAUCGGUAGCUGGUCUGAGAGGAUGAUCAGGCACACUGGAACUGAGACACGGUCCAGACUCCUCCGGGAGGCAGAAGUGGGGAAUAUUGGACAAUGGGCGCAAGCCUGAUCCAGCCAUACCGCGUGGGUGAAGAAGGCCUUCGGGUUGUAAAGCCCUUUUGUUGGGAAAGAAAUCCUGUCGAUUAAUACUCGGUGGGGAUGACGGUACCCAAAGAAUAAGCACCGGCUAACUUCGUGCCAGCCGCCGCCGUAACAC